rnacentral:rRNA from 1 species
CGGGUAGACCUCCCACCCUUUGUAUACCUUACCUUUUGUUGCUUUGGCGGGCCGCCUAGCUACUGGCUUCGGCUGGUAAGUGCCCGCCAGAGGACCCAAACCCAAACCCAUUUAUAGUGUCGUCUGAGAAAAAAGUUUAAUAUUUAAAACUUUCAACAACGGAUCUCUUGGCUCUGGCAUCGAUGAAGAACGCAGCGAAAUGCGAUAAGUAAUGUGAAUUGCAGAAUUCAGUGAAUCAUCGAAUCUUUGAACGCACAUUGCGCCCCUUGGUAUUCCGAGGGGCAUGCCUAUUCGAGCGUCAUUAUCACCCCUCAAGCUCCGGCUUGGUGUUGAGGCCUGCUGUAAAGGCACCCUCUAAAAUCAGUGGCAGUGCCGUCAGGCUCUAAGCGUAGUAAUUUCAUCGCUAUAGACCCGAGCGGACCCUCGCCAGAAACCCCCCAUUUUUUAAUGAUUGACCUCGGAUUAGGUAGGGAUACCCGCUGAACUUAAGCAUAUCAAUAAGCGGAGGAA